CUCGUAGGCGGUUUGUCGCGUCUGCUGUGAAAGACCGGGGCUCAACUCCGGUUCUGCAGUGGGUACGGGCAGACUAGAGUGAUGUAGGGGAGACUGGAAUUCCUGGUGUAGCGGUGAAAUGCGCAGAUAUCAGGAGGAACACCGAUGGCGAAGGCAGGUCUCUGGGCAUUAACUGACGCUGAGGAGCGAAAGCAUGGGGAGCGAACA
rnacentral:rRNA from 1 species